CAUGUAGGAAGUAAGAGGCACUUCCGCGAACCAACGCUAACUGGCGUUAGCGCAAUGACUGGAAGUCUACAGGUACGCUAAGAUACGGCUUCGCACCUGAGUGCAGUACUGAGAGGACGUUAGUGGUAGUUUCCCGAGCCAAUGCUACCUUCCUUCAUACUGGAAGGCAGAGACAUACAAAUGGAAUCCACAAGUUCAUCUAACUCUGGGCACCAACCUCAAUGCUGUCUGGCGAGACAUGAAUAUCAGACUAUUAUAUGAAAUACCUUCUUGAAGCUGCUGUGAAGUGGAAUAACAUUUUCAGAAGCUACUGGAAUAAAGCUGUAACGUAACAAAAUAUGGAGGAAGUCAAGGGGUCUGAAUACUUUCCGAAGGCACUCUAUAUUGGAUAUAUGGCUGUACUGGUUCGAAUCCACCCAAGAUGAUGAACCCUGAAGAUGGGACAAAGGACAUGACAAGGUGGCCCAGAGGAAGACAGCUGUUCUCAACCCUCACUGAGUUUGAUUGAAGACGUCUAGUGAGGGGUGAGAAGAGCUGACAAAUCAAAACUGAGGAUUCUUACGGCGCCCCAUGAGGAACACCCGCUGACUUCUCUCUCCUGGAUGAUCUCCUGCCCAAACUGUCCCGUUGUGUUUCACUGCCUCUAAACACCGUUACACCAAAUAGUUGCCCUAUUUUAUGCACAAAUGUAUUGUUUUUCUUACAUUUAUUGUAGCUUUCAGGGAGAUUUUCACUGUACGUUUUACAGCAUUAUACUGGCACCAGUGUUGUCAGCUUAAUACUGCAAUUUUGCUGACAUAUAUUUGACAGUACUAUUUGCCUUACUGUAAAACAUUACAUCAUCCCCUUACAGAAGGGAUGCUGUAAUAUGUUUUACGGUAAGGAAAAUAGUACUGUCAAAUAUCACAGCAUCACGGCUGUAAAGCAAAAUUACAGUAUUAAGCUGACAACACUGGUGCAAGUAUAAUGCUGUACAUUUACAGGGAAAAGUCUUACUGUCUAUCCCUUUAAUAAGUGCUUAGUAAUUACCUAGUAAUGGAGUUUUUUUUGUUAUUUUCACAUCCUAUUUCCACCUGUCUGACAAUAAAAACUGCUUAACAACAGGUG
ensembl:lncRNA